rnacentral:rRNA from 1 species
GACGAACGCUGGCGGCGUGCCUAAUACAUGCAAGUAGAACGCUGAAGGAGGAGCUUGCUUCUCUGGAUGAGUUGCGAACGGGUGAGUAACGCGUAGGUAACCUGCCUGGUAGCGGGGGAAAACAUUGGGAAAGAUAGGCAAUAACGCCUAAGAAUAGAUUUUUCAUGACCAUUUCUUAAAAAGUGUCAAUUCAUUCCUAACAGAUGGACCCUGCUUGUAUUAGGUAGUUGGUGGGGUAAAGGCUUACCAAGGGGACGAUACAUAGCCGACCGGAGAGGGUGAUCGGCCACACUGGGACUGAGACACGGCCCAGACGCCUACGGGAGGCAGCAGUAGGGAAUCUUCGGCAAUGGACGGAAGUCUGACCGAGCAACGCCGCGGGAGUGAAGAAGGGUUUCGGAUCGUAAAGCUCGGUUGUAAGAGAAGAACGAGUGUGAGAGUGGAAAGUUCACACUGUGACGGUAUCUUACCAGAAAGGGACGGCUAACUACGUG